rnacentral:lncRNA from 1 species
GUUGAGUUGUAUAAGUUGCUUGUAUAUUCUAGACAUUAAGUCCUUGUCAGGUGCAUCAUUUGAAACUAUUUUCUCCCAUUCUGUAAGCUGUCUUUUUGGAUAAAUACAUUAGCACCCAUUUAAAAAUAAAGGGAAGAAAUGUUUAUAGCCAAUAAAUAGCACAGACUCCGGUAAUGCCACUCAGCAGUUAUGGCAAUCAUCCAAUUUUUAAAACCUAAUCACACAUGAAUGCUGAUCCCUUGGCUACCAGUUUAUUAAAAUUUAUUCCAGAGGGCCAACUUUUUUUUUCCCCCCACAAAAGGAUGCUUUACUCAUUGUCGAAUGGUUCUUGGUUAUCUUUACCAGAUAGCUUUUGUAACAUUUCCAUUUUCUAAUACAGGCUUAUAAGACGUUUUGCAGAAAUAAAAAAAGAAUGAAAAAAAAGUGUUGUUUCUAUUUGUUCUUAUAGAAAGGUUAAGUGUUUUUGAUGUUUCUUUUUUUUCCUUAAAGAAAAAAAAAAGCAAACACUAAUUUCCACUUUGUUUCUUUAGGGAAAAGACCAUAGCAAUUAGUUUUCAAGGCAGUAAUUCUCAAGUGCACGUCCCUCCCGGCAGAAGCUUCACACGCAGCAGAACAUGUCUCGUGGGCAGCAGACCUUUCUACACUCUCUGCCAUUCUGCCUUUGCAUCUUUAUGCUUUCUUACUAAUUAAUUUUAUAAAACUGGAAAAACAAACAAAAAACUACAUAAAUCUAUACAAAGAUUUCCUCCAAAAACGUUUCACUGACUUUAAAUCCUUAGGAUCAGUGAUUCCCAAACUUUGGGAUUUCAUGGAGCAGUAGAUGAAAACCAAGGUGGGAGAUUCAACAUGGGGUCAGCAACUAUUUAUUUUUUCAAACAAAUAUAUAAAAAAUAGAAGCAAAGAAAACAAAAUAAAAUAACCCACCAACCCAGAAUCUGCUAGCAAAACUGUUCUAUGAAAUAAUGGCUCUUUUAACAUCAAAAAGAAUGGUUUCACAAAGGCCGUCUCCCAUGACUCAAGUGCAGACACCACAUACUCUCUCCUUCUCUCCUCUUUCAGGCAGACGGUAAAGAGUCACUGACUGGUACUUUGCAACCACUGCUCUGCAAUAGCUCACAGGUGCUGCUAAAACCCAGACUUGCAAAGUUUAACUGUUUCAAAAAUAGCUGUGCUGCUUAUAUAAUGAAGAAUUCUUGUUAAUAUUAGCUGAAUAUUGUGGCUAUGUCUUUGCCUUUCUUUGUCUUAUUAAAUCAGUGAAAAUCUCCAGACAUGCAUGUUUUACAUAAAAUUCAAGAAACACCCUUAUGCCUCAUUCUAUUUAGAAUUCCCAUUUUUACUCAAAUUUGUCCCAGGAAAACAAAUUUAUUGAAAAGCAAGUUCCGACAGGGUAGACGUGAAGCCCUUCUCCCUGGACGGGCUUUUUCUACAUCUACCAGGUGUGGGUCAUCUUCAACCCCAGCCCCCAUGUUGUAAAAUCGGCAGAGCUCAGACUGAAGACUUUAUUACUCGUUUCCUCCCUUGUACAAGUAUUUGAUGGUCCCAAGAGCAUGAGCUUUAGAGCCAGACAGCCAUUAUGAAUGCCAGUUCUGCCAUUCCUUACGUCUGUCACACUGGACAGGUGACAGAGCUCUCCGAGUAUCACGUUCCUCUCCAGAAAUGGGAAUGAUAACACUUGCUGUACGGGGUUGUGGUGACAAUUAGAUGAGAGGAUCCAGGAGGUGGUGAAACAGGUCCUGACACAUAGUAAGUACUCAACAGUGUUGGUGGUUAUGACCAGCCCCUGCCAUGUUCCUAGGCAUUGGGAAUCUGCUGUUGAACAAUAAAACAUCCUUCCCUGAUGAUAUUUACAAUUUAAUGAGAAAGACAAGUAUUAAGUAACCACGCAAAUUGAAAAAUGUAUCCUGAAACACAAUACUAAAAGGAGGGCAGGUGCCAUCGAAGCCUGUGGUGACUGCAUUUGCCAGUGGGGAUGUCCCCACGACAGACCUUCCCUGAAUUCCGAAGGAUGAGUAGAACUUAACAAUUAGGCACAGGAGAAACAGAGCAGAGCUCCAGGGAGAAGGAAGUGGCCCUCUUUCUUUCAUUUUUCCCCUAUAUUGUACAUGUCAACUAGUGUCUUCAAGAACUGCCUAAUAGUUAGAAUUUACUGCAAUGCACAAAAAAUUCCACUAAUCCCUCUAAAACAAUCAGCAAUGACAUUACACCCUAAACACCAUCCAUUAUCCCUCCUUCAAUGCCAUAUAAGAGCUGAAACAGCAUACUCUUAGCUUGUACCACAGAAAAAUACUUAUUUUCUAAAGUGCACCAAAUAAAACAUUAGAAAGACAUUCAGGACAGAACACUAAAACUCUAUUUUUUUAACUGCCUGCAUUAAGAAAAGAUAGCAAAUAUAUCCCAUAAAAAACUAUUUGGACGAGAUCUGCUUUUAAUCUAUGGCUGAUGAAUCAAUUUUGUUUCAAGUCCAUAUUUUACAGCAAAAUCAUAUUUUGUCCUAUAGCAUGAUGGAACUUGAGAAAUAAAUAUUUUUUGAGACCUAAAUUUCAAAGGACUCAUAAGUAUGUCUGAGGUAGAAAUCCCAGAAUUACUUUCCCAAGCCCUGUGGCUUCCAGUUUGUAGGAAAACAAUUUCCAAUUUGCUUUCUACUUUUCUCCCCUUGUGGCACCUCAGAUCUCAUAGCUAUUGUGCAGCAAGUUAGCCCACACCUGCUCCAAACACCUGACGCUGGUGCUGUCUCCACCUCCUUAUAGGUAACUUCCUUUUCGCCUUCAGUAGCUCUUCUCUACAGUCUAGGGCCUCAACCCUUCCUCAUCACUGGCCUCCAAUUCCUUGGAGCAAGUUUUAAUAAGUGUGUUAAAACUUAAAGUCUCAUUUCUUUUCAAAGUGAUAGAAUACUGGUGUGAAAAGAGAGGCAUAUAAUGCUGUACACCUCCCCAAACAAUUCGUUAUCAUUCCUUUAAAAAUGGAGAUGAAUGCUUCUGCUACCAUGACAGCACCCUCUCGCCCUGCUCUGGGCAGUGCUGGGGCCUAACCUGUCCCCACAGGCAACGUGAUGGUUUUCGUAAAGGAAAGAGGAAGACAGCAAAGUAUAAAUACUGCGUAGUAUCAACGAAUAUGUGGAAUGUAUGUAUUUUAAAGGCGAUUCCAUAGAGACUGAGAAUAGCAUGGUGGUUGUCAGUGGCUGGGGGGAGGGAGCUGGGGAGACGUAGGUCAAAGGGUUUAGUUAUAGAAGAUGCUCUGAGGACCUUCUCGGUCACUACAGCCAAUGAUACAGCACCGUCUACUUGAAAGUGGCUGAGGGGAGGUCUCCAGCAUUCUUGGCACACACACACCUACACACACAUACACACAGAGAGUUCACUAUGCGACGUGGUGGUUGUGUUAGUUGCCUUGAUCUUGGUAAUCAUCCCGCCAUGUAUGUGUACAUAAACCAUUGCGUGGUGCCCUUACACCACACACAACUGUAUACACUGCACUGUACACAAUUACAGUUACAUAUAAUUACAUGUAAUUACACAGUUAUGCACAUAAACAAUUACCUUUGUCAAUCAUUCCUCCAAAGAUGGAGAAACUGAAAAACAAAAACUGAAGGAGGAAGACAACAGAAAACCGUCAUGCGGGGUCUCUACCCUUUUCUACAUGGGGGGGAAUUCUUCAUGACGAACAAAAAAACCCACGUGCUUUGGUUUUCAGAGUCUAACUUUUUGUUACAUAUGAAGAAAACAUUGGUUUUCUUUCAAACUACCAGGAAAAGAAAGGAAAACAACCAAAUACUACCUUCUUGAUGGAAACACAUUUUACUAAAUGUUACAGCUUUAAAUUUUUUAGGUCUGUAAGAUCAUGAAUACCAUCAUCCAUACUUUUCCUCAGCAGUGCAAUAAAAAAAAUAUUUACUAAUGACGUCAGAUAACCAAGACGGCAACAACUAAUUCCAGAACCCAAGAUUUUGCUAGCUCAGAUUUUUCUGUAAUUCCUAUAAACCUCCAGAGAUAGUCUACCUUUUUAUCUUUAACAAAACAAAGUUAACUUGACCAUUAUUUAAUGUCUCUGAUAAGAUUCUAUAAUGACAGAUGAAGACAAAAAUAAAGAUAGUCUAUAUUUUCGAGGAAAAAAGGCAGCCAUAAUUCUAUUUUGUGAAUGGACAACUUAUUUGCUUUCAUCCUU